rnacentral:rRNA from 1 species
ACUUAAAUUGAAGAGUUUGAUCAUGGCUCAGAUUGAACGCUGGCGGCAGGCCUAACACAUGCAAGUCGAGCGGUAGCACAGAGAGCUUGCUCUCGGGUGACGAGCGGCGGACGGGUGAGUAAUGUCUGGGAAACUGCCUGAUGGAGGGGGAUAACUACUGGAAACGGUAGCUAAUACCGCAUAACGUCGCAAGACCAAAGUGGGGGACCUUCGGG